rnacentral:rRNA from 1 species
CCUACGGGGCGCAGCAGUGAGGAAUAUUGGUCAAUGGACGCAAGUCUGAACCAGCCAUGCCGCGUGCAGGAAGACGGCUCUAUGAGUUGUAAACUGCUUUUGUACGAGGGUAAACGCAGAUACGCGUACCCGUCUGAAAGUAUCGUACGAAUAAGGAUCGGCUAACUCCGUGCCAGCAGCCGCGGUAAUACGGAGGAUUCAAGCGUUAUCCGGCUUUAUUGGGUUUAAAGGGUGCGUAGGCGGUCGGAUAAGUUAGAGGUGAAAUCCCGGGGCUCAACUUCGGAAUUGCCUGUGAUACUGUUCGGCUAGAGUGUAGUUGCGGUAGGCGGAAUGUAUGGUGUAGCGGUGAAAUGCUUAGAGAUCGUACAGAACACCGAUUGCGAAGGCAGCUUACCAAGCUACUUCUGACGUUGAGGCACGAAAGCGUGGGGAGCAAACAGGAUUAGAUACCCUUGUAGUC